GAUGAACGCUGGCGGCGUGCCUAAUACAUGCAAGUCGAGCGAACAGACGAGGAGCUUGCUCCUCUGACGUUAGCGGCGGACGGGUGAGUAACACGUGGAUAACCUACCUAUAAGACUGGGAUAACUUCGGGAAACCGGAGCUAAUACCGGAUAAUAUAUUGAACCGCAUGGUUCAAUAGUGAAAGACGGUUUUGCUGUCACUUAUAGAUGGAUCCGCGCCGCAUUAGCUAGUUGGUAAGGUAACGGCUUACCAAGGCAACGAUGCGUAGCCGAGCUGAGAGGGUGAUCGGCCACACUGGAACUGAGACACGGGCCAGACACCUACGGGAGGCAGCAGUAGGGAAUCUUCCGCAAUGGGCGAAAGCCUGACGGAGCAACGCCGCGUGAGUGAUGAAGGUCUUCGGAUCGUAAAACUCUGUUAUUAGGGAAGAACAAAUGUGUAAGUAACUAUGCACGUCUUGACGGUACCUAAUCAGAAAGCCACGGCUAACUACGUGCCAGCCGCCGCAGUAA
rnacentral:rRNA from 1 species